UACGGAGGGUGCAAGCGUUAUCCGGAUUCACUGGGUUUACAGGGUGCGUAGGUGGGCAGGUAAGUCCGUGGUGAAAUCUCUGAGCUUAACUCAGAAACUGCCGUGGAUACUAUUUGUCUUGAAUGUUGUGGAGGUGAGCGGAAUAUGUCAUGUAGCGGUGAAAUGCUUAGAUAUGACAUAGAACACCAAUUGCGAAGGCAGCUCACUACACAAUUAUUGACGCUGAGGCACGAAAGCGUGGGGAGCAAACAGG
rnacentral:rRNA from 1 species